AUGCCUUUCUCAACCUUUUGGCUAAGAUCAAGUGUAGUAUCUGUUCUUAACAGUUUAGUAACAAAACUAAUAAAGUCAAUUUCGGACUUCAAGUCGUACAUAUUGCAUCAUUGCAUGACAUCUCAGUGAUGUUACCUUUC
rnacentral:snRNA from 1 species